GCCGAGGUGGCGGAACUGGCAGACGCGUCAGACUCAAAAUCUGAAGUCACUUUGGGUGGCGUGUGGGUUCAACUCCCACCCUCGGCA
rnacentral:tRNA from 7 species